rnacentral:lncRNA from 1 species
CCUUAACAUUUUUUUUUCUCUUUAUUGUCCUUCAGGCUUUCUUCUACUCUGCUUCUAUUACCUCAAAAAGGAUGCUGCUAGCCCCCUUUUCUUUCCAAUGACCCAUAAAACCUUAUCCUGGUGAUACCUUCCUGGCAUCACCCAUUCACCAGCAUUAUCUUCCCCUGUUGGCAAACGAAGUUCUCACUUACCUUUUUAUGGUCUGAAGUCGAGCUGCUGCCCUCUCCCCAGGCAUCCAGCCCUACUUCUCUGGAAUGUUUUCAUGCUAACAGCAGUUUUAAUGCCUAGCACAGUGGCUUGCAACUCAAAACUUUUAUUCAGUGUGGAUGGAUGGAUGGAUAGAUUGAUGACUACAUGUUUGUAA